rnacentral:rRNA from 1 species
AGAGUUUGAUCCUGGCUCAGGAUGAACGCUGGCGGCGUGCCUAAUACAUGCAAGUCGAACGCUUUGUGGUUCAACUGAUUUGAAGAGCUUGCUCAGAUAUGACGAUGGACAUUGCAAAGAGUGGCGAACGGGUGAGUAACACGUGGGAAACCUACCUCUUAGCAGGGGAUAACAUUUGGAAACAGAUGCUAAUACCGUAUAACAAUGACAACCGCAUGGUUGUUAUUUAAAAGAUGGUUCUGCUAUCACUAAGAGAUGGUCCCGCGGUGCAUUAGCUAGUUGGUAAGGUAAUGGCUUACCAAGGCGAUGAUGCAUAGCCGAGUUGAGAGACUGAUCGGCCACAAUGGGACUGAGACACGGCCCAUACUCCUACGGGAGGCAGCAGUAGGGAAUCUUCCACAAUGGGCGAAAGCCUGAUGGAGCAACGCCGCGUGUGUGAUGAAGGGUUUCGGCUCGUAAAACACUGUUGUAAGAGAAGAAUGACAUUGAGAGUAACUGUUCAAUGUGUGACGGUAUCUUACCAGAAAGGAACGGCUAAAUACGUGCCAGCAGCCGCGGUAAUACGUAUGUUCCAAGCGUUAUCCGGAUUUAUUGGGCGUAAAGCGAGCGCAGACGGUUAUUUAAGUCUGAAGUGAAAGCCCUCAGCUCAACUGAGGAAUUGCUUUGGAAACUGGAUGACUUGAGUGCAGUAGAGGAAAGUGGAACUCCAUGUGUAGCGGUGAAAUGCGUAGAUAUAUGGAAGAACACCAGUGGCGAAGGCGGCUUUCUGGACUGUAACUGACGUUGAGGCUCGAAAGUGUGGGUAGCAAACAGGAUUAGAUACCCUGGUAGUCCACACCGUAAACGAUGAGUGCUAGGUGUUUGAGGGUUUCCGCCCUUAAGUGCCGCAGCUAACGCAUUAAGCACUCCGCCUGGGGAGUACGACCGCAAGGUUGAAACUCAAAGGAAUUGACG